UUUGUGAAUGCCACAACUCAUGCUCCUGGCAACUACUGGAUACCAACUCAAGAACAAAUCCUCGUUGGGUUUAGCCAUUUCUCUUGUCCCGUCUGCUGCAAAACCUUCAAUCGCCACAACAAUCUUCAGAUGCAUAUGUGGGGGCACGGGUCACAGUAUCGGAGAGGGCCAGACUCGCUGAAGCGAACCCAUCCACGACCGUUGUUGGACAUUCCCUGCUACUGUUGCGCGAGAGGGUGCAAGAACAACAUCGAGCACCCACGUGCGAAGCCUCUGAAGGACUUUCGCACGCUUCAGACG
rnacentral:sRNA from 1 species